GUCUACGGCCAUGCCACCCUGAACGCGCCCGAUCCCGUCCGGUCUCAGAAGCUAAGCAGGGUCAGGCCUGGUCAGUGCUUGGAUGGGAGAAUCGCUACGGGCCAGCUGUGUUUC
rnacentral:rRNA from 1 species